rnacentral:lncRNA from 1 species
CUCUUCAUCCACCUGCAUGACCAGGACCAGAGCGUGGCUCAGGUGGGCAUUUCUGAGCCGGGCGCUCUCUCGAGGAAGGCGGUGCUGACACCCCUGAGCAUGGCCUGAGCAUCGGAAGGAUCUGCGCUGCAGCCCCAGCAGCAUCCAGUGCCAGAGGAGGUGGUUGCCCCACUCCUCUGCCUGAGCACAGAACAGAGACCUUUCCCCAGCUGCUGCAUCUUCCCCCCUGGGCCCAGGAAAGCCCCGAGCCGUGUCAAGGUGCAGGAUGCACAGGCCGUAUUCCACGGGCGCUGGAGGCAUCUCCCGGUCUCUGUUCCUCUGCAGGCCUCCUGGGAAGCCCUUCUUUGUGCAGCCAAGCUGCUGAAGCGCAAGCGCCUCAGGUACUUGCUGAAGACAGUGCAGACACAGAGGAUUGGCGAGUGCCUGGUGAGGACAAGUGGCCCAGAGCUCCCAAGACCUGGCCCAAACGAGGCCUGCCAGCCGUGGCCCGGGGCGUGGGGCCGGUCCCUGUGCCUGUACCACAGCUGCGGGCCGCAGGGCACAGCCUGCCGCCGUUUGUGCCCCUCUUUCCCUCAAGCGCAUGGGAGCUCGGCCUCUUCUGCGGCCUCCUCUCUCUCCCAGAGGCCUGGCCUGCUCCUGCUGGCUGGCUGUGGGGGCCGGGGUCCCGGCAGGUGAAGGCAGCGGAGGCUGGUCCCGGGCACGGGGCCGGCCUGCCCCAGGGGGAGAGCCUGCGCCAGCCCCAUCCACGCAUGCUGUCUUCCAGCUGGUGGGCCACGGCAGCAGAGUGGAGCAGUUCCUGGAGCAGAGCCUGUCCUACCUGUGGAGCCCCCAGGAGCCCCUGCAAGAGGCGGCCAUCAGGUUCAUUGGUGAGCCACGAGCCCUGGCCCUUCUGUGCCUCACAGCAGCUUGGCCCCGGCGCCGGCUGCUGCUGACUGAGCCACGUGCCCGUGGAGUCACGCCGGCCCAACGUGGGGCCAGGGCAUUCGCGGGGCUCCCUGCUGCCUUCCGCCAGCCCUGCCCACAUAGCGGGUGCUGGUGGGAGCCUUGCUGGGUGCCUCACAGCCUCCUUGGGUGCUGCAGUUGCGGGUGCGAGGCCAGGCCAGCAGGAAUGCCGGGGGGGAUGGGCUGUGCUGGGGGGAUGGGCUGUGCUGGAGGGAUGGGCUGUGCUGGAGGGAUGGGCUGUGCUGGGGGGAUGGGCUGGCCAGUGGGAUGUGUGACGGGCUGUGCGUGCCUAGGGCUUGCCGGGCAGCACUUGAGAGAUGGGCGUGAGGAGAAGCUGGACAACAUCAUCGAGGCCCUGAGGAGUUUGGAGGACACCGGCAGCCCUUCUGUUUCCACGCUGGUGGCUGAAACGGUCCGGAUCCUGAGGACUGCCCCUGGAUUCAGCCUGCAGGCUGUGCGCUCUCGGCUCUUCAGCAUGUGA